UUCAGUAGGUUCCUUUUGACCUACAGAAAGAGCAGAUGGAUUAUACCAACCUCACUUUAUAUGGAUUUUUGUUCCAUCCUGAUGAUCCGAAGAGUGUUUGAGGAUUUAACAGAUUUCUUGAGAACAACAAUCAGAGAAACAUCACAGCUGAGUCUGGACAGGACGUCACUCUGACAUGUCGAGCUCCAAACAACAACAUCAUGGUUGUAGAGUGGAGCAGAGCUGACCUGGGAGAUGAAUAUGUGCUUCUCUACCGGGAUGAUCACCUUCACUCAGACAACCAGCAUCCAUCUUUUAAGAACCGGGUGGAUCUGCAGGACAGACAGAUGAAGGAUGGAGACGUGUCUUUGAUUCUGAAGAAUGUGACGAUUAAUGACACUGGAACAUAUGAGUGUCAUGUCUUAAUGGAAGAAACACAAUCAUGGGAGGUCAUCAGCAUCUACCUGAGAGUCGAUCCUCCAGGAAAACAAAGAGGACACACAGAGGAUGGAGGGAAGGAAGAUGGAUCUGUUGCAUUGAUAGUUGGUGUCUGUAUUCCUGCUGUGCUUCUUGUUGCUGUUGUUGUUUUUUUGAUCUACAGAAAACAUGAAAAGAAGCAGAGUCAGGAUUCAGCCCCCUGUUGAGCUGCAGCAUCCUUGAAAUGUCCCAGAGUUUUUUUCCACAUAAACUCAACAGUGUUGCCAAUGAACAUUCAGAUUCAGACAGAUGAUCUGAUCAUCCAGCAGACAGACAUCAAACAUGUCCAGAGUUGGUUGGAUGAUAAUUUUCUCUGAUUGUCAUCAAACCUGUUCAGGCUGUAUUAGUGUGUCUCUGUGUUGUCUGUCAGAGACUCUGUGAACUACAGUGUUUGUUCAUCUUCACAGUUUUUGUGGGAUUUGUUGACGGGAUUUUGUUUUUUUUGGCUUCCAGAUGCUCAUCUUAUUGUACUUUUCUGUAGCAUAAUUUUUUCAUUUGUAUGUCCUGUAUUUUGGUGUACCCACAGCGUAUACUGUGGGUGUAGUUCAACACACAGUCAGUCAUUAUCUGGCUUCACAAACCUACAUUAAAACUCCAGCAGCAGAUAACUGGUAUCAGAAAGCUGGUUGUCGAUCUCUGUUCAGCUGGGCUUUCUGCUCAGACUCUUGUCUGCACUCACAUUAAAAGAAGUGUUUUCAAGUCAUGUGACCCUUCUUCCACACAAUCACAAUUGUUAUCAGAUGGUGAUGAGAGAUAUUGUAAUAACUGAGCACACUCUCAGUGCUGCUGUUUAUUUCUAAGGUGAUGGCUGCAGAUUAGAGCUGUGCAUCUUUACACUGGACCCCUUUAAACAUUAAACUUUAUGUCCCACAGCCUGAUAACAGAGAUGUGUGAAUCACUUCAGUUUGUCUCAGAUCAAAGUGAAAUUAGUUUUAUUGAUUGAACAGCUUUACCUGGUGUUUGUUCUGUGUUCUAGUCACUGCAAUUUUUGUGUAUAUGAGACUUGACAGCAGAUUAGAAUCAAGUACAAGAAUAUUUCUACAUUCUCCACUAACAUAUGCACAUGUCCAUAACAUUAAGACCCACAGCUGGAGCUUUGUUUAGUGGUGUAUAUAGUGUGAGUACAAGAAAACAAUUAUUACAACAUGAUGUGUUAACUUUGCUUAGAUGAGAGGGUUGAUGUUUCAAGUACAGUUUGCUGAUGCUGAUGCUUGUACCUGAAUUUAAUAAACGCUCAUAACUGUCAUAACUUAGAAGUAGGCUUGCAGGAGACUCUUCACAUGCUUGUCUGUAAAUGCAAGACAACAAGAGGCCAAUGACCCAGUGGAUGCAGAGUGAGGGUCUCAGUGCUUGUAAUAUGUUGACUGUUAACAUAUGUUCAGAUGGUGGUGAAUUAUUGUUGUUUGUUUGUUUGAGUGUAAUCACAUUACUGUUACUGUAAUCACAUUACUGUCAUUUUAUUAUUGACAAAAUAUUAAAGAAAUGAUGAUGAUC